GUUCGGCGAGCCUCCGCCUGGUCACUGCGCGACAGAACAAGAGUUCAUCCAACAUGCACACAUCACAGAGCAUCCUGCCUCUUCUUCAAGACCCACUCAGAUGAAGCAGGAUAAACAAAAUCCUGAAGAUGAACUGACUCCAUGUGCAGCAGCCUUCAGCCUUCAUCACUGGAGCUCUGCUGCUCCCUCAUCACUCAGUACGGGAAGGUGGGGUCUAUCCAUCGGGGCGUGGACCAUGACUACCAGCUGGAGUCGGCUGAGCGCAAAUAAGAUUCAGAAAUGGUGUCAAGUCAAAUGAAAGCCCCACCAACACACAGGAAGUACGGACGUGCAACCUUCAAAAUAAAGGCAUGCAGGACGGCUUCACCAACAAAGCCUUCUUUCUUUUCCUGUUCCAUGCAAAGUCAUAGAUAUGCUAAGAUAAAGAAAUAGAGUUGAACAUAAAGAGGUUGCGAAGAAGUGUAGACAAAAACAAUGGUAGUUGCAGCUGAGAAAACUUGCAGAAAUAAAAUGAAAAUAAAAAACAAUGUCAAAAUCUCAAAAAGUCAUCUUACAUCAAUUACAGCUUGAAGAUUUCUGUGUUCACAAAUGGCCUUUUAGUCUGCAGAGAACUCAUGUUACAUCAUAAUAUUCAGAAGUGCAUUUGUGGUUCAGCCACUUUUGAUUUCUUGCAAUUAGUGAUGAACUGGUUUAAAAACAAAUUACAUUCGAAAAAUUAGAGGAAGUGAAGUUUAUGGUCAGCUAGGCAGCCGGUACCAUGCAAAUGCCAAAAGUUCACCUGAAAGCAGAUUUUUUAAUUAAAACUAUCUUUUUCAGUAGAAAUUACCAAACCUUGAAAAUGUCUAACCUACAGAAUUAAAAAUCUGAUUCAGUAAAGCUGUUUCACAUGACGGCUCUUCGAUUGAAUCACGUCAACUGUGUACCCGGUGUUUGCCCAGAAGUGGCUGGGAUAGGCUCCAGCAACCCCUUGACCCUGAAAGACAUUUUGCUGGUUUUAAAAUGGAUUAAAAGGUGUUUCAGUUGAAUUUUGUCGAAGAAAAUAAAAAAAAAAGUACUAUGAUUCUGCAUCUUAGCAAUAAGUAGUAAACUUGAAGUUGAUUUUCUUAUGUAUACUGAAGUAUAAAUAAAGCAAGUCUACUAUAGACAUGUAUGUAUAGUUUAGGAUGUAUACUAACUUAAUACUACUUCAGACCAAAUUGGAAGAUUUUUUGUUAAACACGGAUAAUACAUAAAAAGCAAACUUCAAGUAUACUGCCUCACUUUUAGUAUAGACUAAAUACUCAGACUAGGAGACUUUAAUAUACUAUUUUUCUGCUAGGGGUUGCUACAGUGAAUCACCUGCCAGUUUGUGAUUCACACAUUUGAUUUGGCUUUAAAUUUAGGGGUCAAAUGGUGUCAAUCCUCCGCACUUAGGACCAGCACAUAAAAAGCACUGAAUUGUACAGCCUUAUGGCUGCAUUAAAGUUAACCGCAAUGCUAACACUCUGAUCAAGGCUAGAUUGUUUCUGUAAAUAAGUAGAAAAAAUAAUUAAUGUGAACUUUCUGGUGUUUCUAAGCAUUUAAAAGUUAACUUUUGAAUAAAGCCAUGUCCUCUUUUUUACAUUUUUUGACAACAAUGGGAUUUUAACGAAUCUGGAAGAAAAUUGGUCAUAAAUAAAUAAUGUGCGAAAUGCAACAGAAGGAGCCAAGCUAAGAGUUGUGGUUUUUCAUCUGAAAUUUGUAGAAAAAGGGUGCAGAAUUUUGUUUUUGUUUUUUAAAGAAUCUUGUUUUAAACCAUCUCUGUGAUGAAGCAAUUAGUGAUGAUGCUUAUCUACCUCAGCAGAUAGAAUAAUGUCACAAGCCUUGCAUAACCAACACAUUCAUAUUUUUUGUUUUAUUUUAUUAAUAUCAUUAUUGUUAUUAGCACUGAUAUGAUUACAGCUUUCAAUCUCAUUGUUCCUGCAAACAGUGACAAUAAAGGCAUCUGUUCACAA